GUGAGUAAUUGCGUUGCGGGUGUGUACGUAUUGCUAUUGUUGCAUUUUUGUUUCAGUUUUCCUUUUUUUGUUUUGGCUUAGUGCAUAGAUUUUCUUUCAACGUGUGAGUUCCAUUUUGUUUCACUUCCCGCCCUCGUGCUACUGAGGGGAGGAGCGAGUGGAGGUCUGUUCGGUGUGCAGCUGCUCUGGGUUAAACCACAGCAGUUACAGUAACCUACUGUAUAGUUGUUGGCCUCCUGCUUUGCUUUGGGAAGCGAAGGCUGUUGUGGUUUUUCUAAAACAGUUGAGUGACCUUCGAACUUCUAGGGAGAUGAGAUGUACAAAGCCUUCGAUGGGGCGUAGUCGUGGCAAGCGGAUCUCCAGAGCCUCAAACUGUUAACCAAAGAGUCAGUUCUGGGUCAGCGAGGAUUUGAGUGGUUAAAACUGCACAGUUCAUGGGGAGAGGUAAAUUGCUGGAAUGGGGCCUUGAGAGGAUGGCCAUUCUGGAGAUGUUCAAGUCCAGACCCUUGGCAAACUGCUUUAGCUGAGCAUGCUUUCCCCUGAGAUUUGCAGUAGAGACUCCUGGAGAUCCCUUCCAACUUGCUGUGUUUCUGGGCAUCAUGAUCCAAACAGUUAAUUCAGCUUUUUCACAGCUUUGCCUCUGCAAAUUAAACUGGAAUUGAAAGGACUGGCAUAUCUCAAAAGGCCUUUGGAAUGAAAUAUUCAGGAAUGUUUAUCAGUCAAAAAGCUGAGGAAUUUCAGGUUGAUAGGCAGUCUUCUAGAUGUUUCUAAACUUUGCUGAACAUCAACUCCUAGACUUCUGCAGGCUGUCUAUGUAAUUCUGAAUUUACUUUCUAAAUUGGCACGUAACUUAUUGAAUACGUUUUAAAGAGCAUAGCAGAACUCUGAGCCAGGAUAUAGAAAUUGAGGUGGAAUGUGCUUAUAACUGCAUAAGUAAAUGUGUAUGUGUAUGAUGAGUCCCAGAAGAAGUUGUAUACUGAAAACUGCAUUGUCUAACCUUCUUAUGUUUAAUUCAUCCUUUGAUAUGCUUGAUUAAUAUCAUUGCAGCCACUUUUUGUGUAGAUAAGUAUUAUUUUUUUGUAAAAUGCUAAAAAACAUCAGUAAAGGUAUGAUUUCUAAAAGAUUGUAAAACUUUGUGUAUAUAUUUUCUAUUAUAGACACAAAAUACUUGGCUUUUCCUCCG
ensembl:lncRNA